CCUACGGGAGGCAGCAGUGGGGAAUUAUUGGACAAUGGGCGAAAGCCUGAUCCAGCAAUGCCGCGUGAGUGAUGAAGGCCUUAGGGUUGUAAAGCUCUUUUACCCGGGAUGAUAAUGACAGUACCGGGAGAAUAAGCUCCGGCUAACUCCGUGCCAGCAGCCGCGGUAAUACGGAGGGAGCUAGCGUUGUUCGGAAUUACUGGGCGUAAAGCGUACGUAGGCGGUUAUUCAAGUCAGAGGUGAAAGCCUGGAGCUCAACUCCAGAACUGCCUUUGAAACUAGGUAGCUAGAAUCUUGGAGAGGUUAGUGGAAUUCCGAGUGUAGAGGUGAAAUUCGUAGAUAUUCGGAAGAACACCAGUGGCGAAGGCGACUAACUGGACAAGUAUUGACGCUGAGGUACGAAAGCGUGGGGAGCAAACAGGAUUAGAUACCCUGGUAAGUCCACGCCGUAAACGAUGAUAACUAGCUGUUCGGCUCUACGAGCUUGAGUGGCGNANCACGCAUAUAUCGCNGGAGUACGUCGCGAGAGUAACUACAAGAAGUAGACGACGUAGAGAGUAGACGACGACGACGACGAGGAGAGG
rnacentral:rRNA from 1 species